rnacentral:lncRNA from 1 species
GACACACAUAGGGAAUUUCCAGUUGUCAAGCAGUGGUGCUGUUCCUUUACCCUUAUGGGUAAUAGUAGGGUAGCUGGAACUUCGAAAUUCUCGUGCCUAAACUUUGUCAGAGAUCUUUGACAAAGUUAUAUGUGGUACCCGAGGAGUUGAUGGUGCAUAUGGAGAGCGGUGAUUGAACAGUAAGAUUCACGUGCUUUCAACUUCACCAGAAAUCUUCGACAGAUUGCCCGUAAUUUCCGCAAAGCUGAGUGUGCAUGUGACAGGUGCUGACGAGGCUGAAAAAGUAGGUGCUUCUUCGAUUUCUGAGAUCGGCCCUCGUGGUCUCUGAGCAGCCCAGCUUUUGAGAAAGCAAACGCCUCUUCGAUUUCUGAAGCUCCGUCGAGUGCAGAUUUUUAUAGAGGCUGGCAUUAAGUUCCACAGCACACUUGAAUCUCUACCAGUAGAAGCUCAUUUCUUGCACUUCUAAGAUCUUGAUUUGUCUGACCUCUUCCCUCUUCAACACAUUUGAAAAUGUCUG